UACAGAGGUCUCAAGCGUUGUUCGGAUUUACUGGGCGUAAAGGGAGCGUAGGCGGUUUGGUAUGUCGAAUGUGAAAGCCCACAACUCAACUGUGGAAAUGCAUUCGAAACUGCCGGACUAGAGUACUGGAGAGGAGAGCGGAAUUCUUGGUGUAGCGGUGAAAUGCGUAGAUAUCAAGAGGAACACCAGUGGCGAAGGCGGCUCUCUGGACAGAUACUGACGCUGAGGCCCUAAAGUUAGGGGAGCAAACAGGAUUAGAUA
rnacentral:rRNA from 1 species